CCUACGGGAGGCAGCAGUGAGGCAUAUUGGUCAAUGGACGAGAGUCUGAACCAGCCAAGUAGCGUGAAGGAUGACUGCACUAUGGGUUGUAAACUUCUUUUAUAUGGGAAUAAAAUGUUCCACGUGUGGGAUUUUGUAUGUACCAUAUGAAUAAGGAUCGGCUAACUCCGUGCCAGCAGCCGCGGUAAUACGGUGGAUCCGAUCGUUAUCCGGAUUUAUUGGGUUCAAAGGGGGCGUAGGUGGAUUGGUAAGUCAGUUGUGAAAGUUUGCGGCUCAACCGUAAAAUUGCAGUUGAAACUGGCAGUCUUGAGUACAGUAGAGGUGGGCGGAAUUCGUGGUGUAGCGGUGAAAUGCUUAGAUAUCACGAAGAACUCCGAUUGCGAAGGCAGUUCACUGGACUGCAACUGACACUGAGGCUCGAAAGUGUGGGUAUCAAACAGGAUUAGAUACCCCUGUAGUC
rnacentral:rRNA from 1 species